UACGUAGGGUGCGAGCGUUAAUCGGAAUUACUGGGCGUAAAGUGUGCGCAGGCGGCUUCGCAAGUCGAGUGUGAAAUCCCCGAGCUUAACUUGGGAAUUGCGCUCGAAACUACGGAGCUGGAGUGUGGCAGAGGAAGGUGGAAUUCCACGUGUAGCGGUGAAAUGCGUAGAGAUGUGGAGGAACACCGAUGGCGAAGGCAGCCUUCUGGGCCAACACUGACGCUCAUGCACGAAGGCGUGGGGAGCAAACAGG
rnacentral:rRNA from 1 species